AUUCAAUAGUGGCGACACACCAGAUGAGUGUGGGGUGGCGUGUAAACGGCCGGGUUGAACUUUCUGCUGUGCAGCUAAUGGGUUAACCUCCGUGCCUGUCGGCUGUUAUCCUGGGACCGAGGAGAACGUGGCUGGGCAAAGCGGCUUUCACCACUGUCCCGUGAAAGAGCAUCCGUGCUGUGUCUGUGAAUUAU
rnacentral:lncRNA from 1 species